UAAUUGAAGAGUUUGAUCAUGGCUCAGAUUGAACGCUGGCGGCAGGCCUAACACAUGCAAGUCGAGCGGCAGCACAAGGGAGUUUACUUCUGAGG
rnacentral:rRNA from 1 species